GGCGGGGUAGCUCAGCUGGUUAGAGCACACGCUUCAUAAGCGUGGGGUCGAGGGUUCAAGUCCCUCCCCCGCUA
rnacentral:tRNA from 1 species